GCAUCGAUGAAGAACGCAGCGAAUCGCGAUAUGUAAUGUGAAUUGCAGAUCUACAGUGAAUCAUCGAAUCUUUGAACGCACCUUGCGCUCCUCGGUGUUCCGAGGAGCAUGCCUGUUCGAGUGUCAGURAAUUCUCAACCCCUCUCGAUUUGUUUCGAGCGGGCGUUUGGAUAGUGGGGGCUGCCGGAGACCUGGAUUUAUUUCGGGACUCGGGCUCUCCUGAAAUGCAUCGGCUUGCGGUYGACUUUCGACUUUGCAUGACAAGGCCUUCGGCGUGAUAAUGAUCGUCGUUAGCUGAAGUGCACGAAUGAACCGUCCUGCGCCUCUAAUACGUCGACGCUUUCCAGCGUCUUCCUUAUUGACGUUUGACCUCGAAUCAGGUAGGACUACCCGCUGAACUUAAGCAUAUCAAUAAGCGGAGGAA
rnacentral:rRNA from 1 species